rnacentral:rRNA from 1 species
GCCCCUAAGCGUGUACUAAGUGGAAAAGGAUGUGCAGUCGCGAAGACAACCAGGAGGUUGGCUUAGAAGCAGCCACCCUUGAAAGAGUGCGUAAUAUCUCACUGGUCAAGUGAUUGUGCGCCGAUAAUGUAGCGGGGCUCAAGUACACCGCCGAAGCCGCGGCAACGAUUUAUCGUUGGGUAGGGGAGCGUCCUGCAUCCGGUGAAGCAGCAGAGUGAUCUAGCUGUGGAGGGUGUGGGAGUGAGAAUGCAGGCAUGAGUAGCGAAUAGGCAAGUGAGAACCUUGCCCGCCGAAAGACCAAGGGUUCCUGGGCCAGGCCAGUCCUCCCAGGGUGAGUCGGGACCUAAGGCGAGGCCGACAGGCGUAGUCGAUGGACAACGGGUUGAUA